CUCACAGCCGGAAAGACGUCGCUGGCGCAUGCGUCGUUAAGAAAACAAAAAUAUAAAUUUCGUUUCGAUUUCGUUGGUGGUUUCUAUUUUUCUGUUGCCACACAACGCGGACGAGAGUUACCGAGAAGUGCAGUCAGCGACGUGCGAAAAGUGGCUUACGCUUAUGAAUUGCUGACGUUAGCUGGGGAUUUCCAAUUGCGAGAAACACAAAAGGCCACUCUCCUCACACCUACUCUCACACACACACACACGCACACACAGCUCGGCAGCAGCAUGCAGUUUCGACAACAGCCGCAAAGUACUAUGCUAUGGAAAAUUGCAUUUCUAAUUAUCGCAUUAGUCGGCAACGUGUCGUGCAUAAGAAAUGGCGACGGAAAUGACGAGCAGAAACACAUUUCCGCAAAGCUGAAAAACUUUUUUCCCUCGGAGCCGCUGAUUGAAGUGAACGCCAUUGCUGCACAGUCCUCCCAGACGUCCGCACGGGUAACGAAUGGCGGUUUUCGACCCUCACAGAUGCUGGAAUUUACGCCCUCGGAUGUGAUGCACGGUGGCGUACAGCGUUAUCCGCCCAGUUAUCUGGAGCCCAACUAUAAGCAUCAAGUGCCCAGCUCCUUGGCCAGCCUCAAUCCGCAGCAGACGGCGAUGGACAAGCAGUUCUCCUUUCCAGACGAGACCCGACCACAACAGCAGACCUCCUUCCAUAGCUAUGCCAGCACCCAAAUACCCACCACACCGGUGGUCAGCUAUUUGGAUCCCUUUACACAGCAAAACUAUCGCUAUACGCCUACGCCCACGCCCACAGCCACACAGGCUACGCCCAUUUACAUUCAGUAUCAACGCGAACAGCCCGAGGAGCAGGGGGAUCAGGCCUACACGGUGCAAUCGUCGCUGCUCGUAGGCAACCACUCGCCGCAACAUUCACGCCCCGUUGCUGCGGACGAGGUGUAUCUGAAGCGACCCGGCUAUGUCUUCGAUGAGAGCCCCACGACGACCUAUCGCCGACCAGUGACAGCACCCACAGCAUCCACAGCGAAUAAAAUUUCAUACGAUUCGCAUGAUUACCCGCCGCCCAGCUAUGCCACACAGCAGACAUCCAAUUUUGUGCCACAGCAAUCCAAGCAGCAGCCACAGCCACAGCCUCAGCCACAGCCACAGCCACAGCGACUCCGAGAGCACCAUCGGCCGCCUUACAACCGCCAAGACGUCAAUGACAACCGACCAGCAUUGGCAGGCGGCUCAUCGAUAAAUGUGCCGCAGCCGCAAUACACGCAGUCGUCUAAUUAUGCAAACAACUUUGGUAAUUAUUUGCAGCGACCACCCAGUUACCCUGCCAACUCCCACUCGCAAUCGCAGUCGGAAUACAACCCCACGCACUAUCAGUACGAGCCGCUGCCUCAGCGACCACUGUCUCAGCAGCAGCAGCGACCGGGACCCAAUUACUAUGAGUAUCAAAUUGGCGAGAUACCACCCCAGCCGCAGUUCAGUUAUCGUCCUGGUCCGCCGCCUGGCUAUCGACCGCCUUACCAGCAACCAGCGGCAGCAGCAGGGGCUGGAGCUGGAGCUGGUGGCCUGGCCACUCUAGCGUCGCUGCUGAGCUCGACGCAACAAUAUGCGCCACAGUUUACAAAUCUGCUUUUGGGCGGUGGCGGUGGCGGUGGCGGUGGUGCAGCAUCCUCCUCUUCCUCCAGCAGCAGCCCAUUAGGCAGUCUCUUAGGCGCUUUCGCCGGCACACAAGGCACGGGGCAGCACGCCCGACCGCCCAACACACAACUCAUUAGAGCCCUGGAGAACAUCGCACGCAACGACGAUUUGCAGUGUGUGCCCAAGGUGCUCUGCCAGAUGAUUGCCGGUCAAACGUUACGUGGCCAACUGCCAGGCUUCAUUACAUCGCCGGCCAUAACCAACUUCUUGGCUGGCUUCCCAGUCGCCUCGCCAGCACUCAUUUAUGGACGCGCAGCACUGCUUGGAAUUAGCGGGGGCGAACGAAGCUGUUUUCAGACCUAUGAAAAGUGCCCAAAGAAUGAGAUGGAAAUCAUUCACUAUCUGAACAAUCAUCGCGGCGGGUUUUUUAAGUUCUUCAGCGAGCCGGAAGAGCAACCAGCUGUAGCACAACAAAGCGAAUCUGGCGGAGGCUCAUUGUUCAGCAUACUCGCAGCGCUGACGGGCGGCGGGCAGGAGCAGGGGCUGGGCCAGGUGACGCGCACAACGCCUCGGCCUAGGCCGCGACCCACACAAAGACCCAGUACGGACAUUGCCGAUGGCAUCGGCAGCUUCUUCACCCGAGUGCUGUCCGAGUAUUUAAGCGGCGUGGAGUACCAAAGACGUCGCAGAAGGAGAAGGAGUCUGUUGCCAACGGAAAUUAAACGCAACAUUCAGGCGGAUAAUGGCCGCUUGAUGCCCGUUGAUUUUCAUGAUGAAGAAGAUGACUUGGAUACCCAGACACCAGUCAAGUUUCAAGAUGAUGACGAGGCUGAGGCAGCCCAGGCACACACCGAGCUGAUAGGUGUGCUGCAAUUUCCCGAAGACCAGGCUGAGGGCGAGGGUCGCAUACUGCACUUCAAAAACGAAGAAGGAGCUGAGCAUCAUGACAACGGAGUUGUGCGAUUUCCGGAUGCCACGCCGGAAGCUCUGCGCGACAGCGAGCGAAAAGUUAUCUACGAAUUCAAUCGAGAUGCAGCUCAACGUAAAUUGAGAUUUCCCCAAGACCAAAGCGAAGGCGAGCGGCAGGCUAAGAAGUUGCAACUGGCCGAGGGUUGGACAGCUGUGCUGCCCAAUGGACUUGGCGAGGAAGACUACGGCGUGGAGAAGAGGCGUGGCAAGCGAAUUGUUUUUAAGGAUACCAAUGAGGAGCUCGAGGAGUUUGAUAAGCUGCUUAGAGAAGAGCAAGUGCAGGAGUACAGGGAAGAGGAGGAACGGUUUAGAGAACAACAGUUUAGAGAGGAACAACAAAGAGAACAGCAUACACCACCAAAUGCUGUAUAUGAGGAUGCAGCACCACCUCAACGCGGCGCCAGAGUCCUUUUUCCCGAUCAUUACGAGCGUCAUAUUCGCAGAGGUAAGAUCCUAAACCGACCCACCUAUGCGCCCAGCUAUGAGUACAAUGAUAGGGGCGAAGAGAAAGAGCAACGUUUGGUGGUCAGUGAUGAGCAUAGACCGAGUUCCUAUUAUCGCCUGGAGACGGAGACAUCAUCAGACUAUCAGACAAGUCACAGUCAAAGUUUUAUGAACUAUGGCGAAUACCUGCCGGGAAAUACCGUGCGGUUCGUCGAGUCGAAUGACAGACCCAGCUAUAAUGCACAGUACAACUAUCCGAAUGCGAACUAUAUAAGCAACAACCGAUAUAGCAGCACUUAUCAGACUACCUCGACAAGGAGACCCAAACACGAGGAUGAUAGAAAUAUAUAUGUGACUAAUUCACAAGGUGUGACCGAGUAUUACAUAAGGCCCGACGGGCGCAAGGUGUAUCUGGGCAGCGGUUGAAUUUCCAGAGUGUAUAUACGUCAGACGAGAGGCAAGUUCCCAUUAGUUUUAGAUGCUUCAGUCACAGAGACAGCAACAAAUCAACAAGUAUUUCAAGCAAAUGAAAUAUGCAAAAGAAAUGGCACAUAAAUCUAGCGACAAACGGCGUCAUCGCGGGGAAUACGUUUGAAAAAUUAAAUGUGAUAAACCGAGGGACACCAGGG